CGCAGCCGCGGUAAUUCCAGCUCCAAUAGCGUAUAUUAAAGUUGUUGCAGUUAAAAAGCUCGUAGUUGAACUUCGGGGUUUACCCAUUGGUCAGGCUUAAUUGUCUGCACUGGUGAGAUGAAUCUCUACCUUCUGAGGAACUUUCAUGCCAUUUAUUUGGUGUGAUGGGAAAUCAGGACUGUUACUUUGAAAAAUUGAGUGUUUAAAGCAGGCUAACGUCUGAAUACAUUAGCAUGGAAUAAUGAAAUAGGACGGACUGAUUCUAUUUCGUUGGUUUCUAGGAUCACCGUAAUGAUUAAUAGGGAUAGUUGGGGGCAUUAGUAUUCAAUUGUCAGAGGUGAAAUUCUUGGAUUUAUUGAAGACUAACUACUGCGAAAGCAUUUGCCAAGGAUGUUUUCAUUAAUCAAGAACGAAAGUUAGGGGAUCGAAGACGAUCA
rnacentral:rRNA from 1 species